UACAGAGGUCUCAAGCGUUGUUCGGAUUCAUUGGGCGUAAAGGGUGCGUAGGUGGCGCCAUAAGUCAGGUGUGAAAUCUCGGGGCUCAACCUCGAAACUGCACUUGAUACUGCCGUGCUUGAGGACUGGAGAGGAGACUGGAAUUUACGGUGUAGCGGUGAAAUGCGUAGAUAUCGUAAGGAAGACCAGUGGCGAAGGCGGGUCUCUGGACAGUUCCUGACGCUGAGGCACGAAGGUCAGGGGAGCAAACGGG
rnacentral:rRNA from 1 species